rnacentral:rRNA from 1 species
ACUCCUACGGGAGGCAGCAGUGGGGAAUAUUGCACAAUGGGGGAAACCCUGAUGCAGCCAUGCCGCGUGUGUGAAGAAGGCCUUCGGGUUGUAAAGCACUUUCAGUAGGGAGGAAGGUAGUGUAGUUAACACCUGCAUCUUAUUUGACGUUACCUACAGAAGAAGCACCGGCUAACUCCGUGCCAGCAGCCGCGGUAAUACGGAGGGUGCGAGCGUUAAUCGGAAUUACUGGGCGUAAAGCGCAUGCAGGCGGCCUGUUAAGUCAGAUGUGAAAGCCCGGGGCUUAACCUCGGAAUUGCAUUUGAAACUGG